rnacentral:rRNA from 1 species
UACGUAGGGCGCAAGCGUUGUCCGGAAUCAUUGGGCGUAAAGCGCGCGUAGGCGGCCAGAUAAGUCCGGUGUGAAAGUCAAAGGCUCAACCUUUGAAUGCCGCUGGAAACUGUCUGGCUUGAGUUCGGUAGGGGAGACUGGAAUUCCUGGUGUAGCGGUGAAAUGCGCAGAUAUCAGGAGGAACACCGGUGGCGAAGGCGGGUCUCUGGGCCGAUACUGACGCUGAGGAGCGAAAGCGUGGGGAGCGAACAGG